UACGUAGGGUGCGAGCGUUGUCCGGAAUUAUUGGGCGUAAAGAGCUCGUAGGCGGUUCGAUAAGUCGGGUGUGAAAACUUUGGGCUCAACCCAAAGCGUGCAUUCGAUACUGUUGUGACUAGAGUUCGGUAGGGGAGUGGGGAAUUCCUAGUGUAGCGGUGAAAUGCGCAGAUAUUAGGAGGAACACCGGUGGCGAAGGCGCCACUCUGGGCCGAAACUGACGCUGAGGAGCGAAAGCGUGGGUAGCAAACAGG
rnacentral:rRNA from 1 species